UUGAAGCUAAUGAGCUUGUACAUCGUAAAAUCAAAUAUGGAAUAUUUAAAACAUGCCAUAACUUUGAUUUUUAUAUUUACAUUAUUUCUCUUAGUUGAAUCUACGGAUUGCAACAAACAAUGCUUGGUUGAUUCUACUGAUUGCAACAAACAAUGCUUGGUGAAACAAGGACCAAAAAGAAGAAUGUGUUUACGUGACUGCGAA